UAGUCUAUGAUUGAAAGGCUGUAUGGAC
rnacentral:sRNA from 1 species